UCCCAGGUGACUUGGUGGUAAAGAAUCUGCCUGCCAAUGCAGGAAAUGUAGGUUUGAUUCCUGGUCUGGGAA
rnacentral:tRNA from 1 species